UUCAGUGAAUUUUUCCGAGUCGGAAAACAUAGUUUUCUGCAUAAAAGCGCGCAGUGGAAUUUUGAACGGCAGUACUGGCUGAGAUCUGUCUGGUACUGCAGCUGAGAAAAUUGAUUAUGAGUAAAUAAGAUUAAGAAAUGAGGAAUUAUGAUUAGGGGAGGUAGAAAUAUUUAAAGUGCGAUUUGAAGCGCUAAUCUUAAAGAUUUUGGCCCAAAAUUGGGCCAACGGACAAAAAUAAGUGAACCGGGCCUAAGUGGGUCCAAGACCUAACAUAUAUAUAGCUUUAUUAAGCCAUUUCAGCAACAUUCCUCCCUCCAUUAUUGUGUUCCACGCUGAAUUGAGAAGAGAGAAGAGAAGAGAGAAACCUUAACUCUCUUUGAUCUUCAAAUCACCAUAACUUGAGCUACGGAGCUCCGAUUGACGAGCCGUUUGUGGCUACGCGUCGCUCUUCUCAUCCUCUACAAUUCUAUCUAAGGUUUUUGGAGUGCUCUAGUAUGAGCCAUGGGUGAUAUUCAUCACAAACUUCAGUGGGUUAAGUGUAUUUGAUGGUUUUGGUACACAAUUGGGAGAUUGGUGUUGUUUGAGGAGCUUUGGUGAGGCUUGGGGCUAAGGUUGGUGGAGACUUCCAAAGAAGAGGCUCAAUUGAUUUGGCUACAAGAGAUACAGGUCCAGGUGCUCAGCAGUGAGUUGUGGGUCGUCUGAGAGACGGCGAAUAUCUUUAUUUUCUCUACUUUGUGUUUUGCUUAGAAUCUCUCCACCUUUGUUUCGAAAAGAUUAUAUCAUGUAUUGUACUCUUUUAAACUUGCCUAUAGAGGCUCUCAUGUUUCCUUUGGGAGAGAUUAGGAUAUACUAUUGUCAACUACUUUAAUACUGUACCCUGGCUGGCCUAAACCUCGCGGGUCGCGACU